GAGACACCAGUUCCCAUAAGAUCAUUGAAGUUAAGCAACGUUGAGCUUGCUCAGUACCUAGAUCGGUGACUGCUUGGGAAUACCAGGUGCUGUAAG
rnacentral:rRNA from 1 species